rnacentral:misc_RNA from 1 species
UGGAGAGGUUGCGGAGUUUAAGUGCCGCUUCAAGCUUGAGAUGAUAUAAAAGGUAACAGUACGGCGGGUCUCUUGCGCAGAUAAACCACCGGCGGUUCUCCGCAAUUGACACCACCAUACCAACGACUACAACUCACAGAAACUUUGGCGCAUCAACCUCUACAUCAACAUGUAUCUACUGACACUUCUCAAGGCAAAGGCCGAAGCCAACAGAACUUCAGCUCAAUUUGGAGGAACUUACUACCCCAAGAAUUCGUUGGAGUACACAUUUCGAGGUGUGAAGUUGUGCCAAUAGGCCCUCACAAGACAUAGGCAGAAGUUUCGCAUAAGAAUUCUGGCCCCGCAUCAUCAUUAUCUUCAUUAAAUGCAUUGUUUUAUUUAUCCCGGGUCUUCUACGAGUAGGGCUACGAGUACAUACGUAUGUACAGUACAGUAAUUAGAUUCGCUCACCCUGA